AGUGAACGCUGGCGGUAGGCCUAACACAUGCAAGUCGAACGGCAGCACAGUAAGAGCUUGCUCUUACGGGUGGCGAGUGGCGGACGGGUGAGGAAUACAUCGGAAUCUACUUUUUCGUGGGGGAUAACGUAGGGAAACUUACGCUAAUACCGCAUACGACCUACGGGUGAAAGCAGGGGAUCUUCGGACCUUGCGCGAUUGAAUGAGCCGAUGUCGGAUUAGCUAGUUGGCGGGGUAAAGGCCCACCAAGGCGACGAUCCGUAGCUGGUCUGAGAGGAUGAUCAGCCACACUGGAACUGAGACACGGCCCAGACUCCUACGGGAGGCAGCAGUGGGGAAUAUUGGACAAAGAGCGCAAGCCUGAUCCAGCCAUACCGCGUGGGUGAAGAAGGCCUUCGGGUUGUAAAGCCCUUUUGUUGGGAAAGAAAAGCAGCAGGUUAAUACCCCGCUGUUCUGACGGUACCCAAAGAAUAAGCACCGGCUAACUUCGUG
rnacentral:rRNA from 1 species